AAUGCCCCCUUGAGGUAUAGACCGAUGUUUUGAUUAGUCAGUCUAGAGGGCAGUAUAAAUUCAAAAAAUUUCAAAAAAAUAUAAAACCUUGGAAACCUAGCUUUGUUUGUGCAAGAGAUCAUGUGUGCCCAAAUUGAGGUGAUUUGGAGGUGGUCAAAAAAAUCACCGCAUUCCGGAGGCACCAUUUGGUCUUAACUUAAGCCAUUUUUUGAACAAAGGUGAUUUUUUCCACCACCUCAAAAUCACCCAAUUUCUCUAUGACACGGUGACCCACGUGUGGCAAACAUGUCCAUGAAAGAACAUUUGGAAAAAUAUAUUUUACAAUGCCCCCUUGAGGUAUAUACCGAUGUUUUGAUCAGUCAGUCUACAUGGCAGUAUAAAUUCAAAAAAUUACAUAAAAUAUAAAACCUUGUAAACCUAGCUUUUUUUGUGCAAGAGAUCAUGUGUGCCCAAAUUGAGGUGAUUUGGAGGUGGUCGAAAAAAUCACCGCAUUCCGGAGGGACCAUUACUUAAGCCAUUUUUUGAACAAAGGUGAUUUGUUCCACCACCUCCAAAUCACCCAAUUUCUCUAUGACACGGUGACCCACAUGUGCCAAACAUGUCCAUGAAAUAAAAUUUGGAAAAAAUAUAUUUUACAAUGCCCCCUUGAGGUAUAGACCGAUGUUUUGAUCAGUCAGUCUAGAGGGCAGUAUAAAUUCAAAAAAAUUUCAAAAAAAUAUAAAACCUUGGAAACUUAGCUUUGUUUGUGCAAGAGAUCAUGUGUGCCAAAAUUGACGUGAUUUGGAGGUGGUCGAAAAAAUCACCGCAUUCCGGAGGGACCAUUUGGUCUAACUUAAGCCAUUUUUUGAACAAAGGUGAUUUUUUCCACCACCUCCAAAUCACCCAAUUUCUCUAUGACACGGUGACCCACGUGUGCCAAACAUGUCCAUGAAAGAACAUUUGGAAAAAAAAUUACAAUGCCCCCUUGAGGUAUAGACCGAUGUUUUGAUCAGUCAGUCUAGAGGGCAGUAUAAAUUCA
rnacentral:lncRNA from 1 species